rnacentral:rRNA from 1 species
GACGAACGCUGGCGGCGUGCUUAACACAUGCAAGUCGAACGGAAAGGCCCUGCUUUUGUGGGGUGCUCGAGUGGCGAACGGGUGAGUAACACGUGAGUAACCUGACCUUGACUCUGGGAUAACUUCAGGAAACUGGGGCUAAUACCGGAUAGGAGCUCCUGCUGCAUGGUGGGGGUUGGAAAGUUUCGGCGGUUGGGGAUGGACUCGCGGCUUAUCAGCUUGUUGGUGGGGUAGUGGCUUACCAAGGCGUUGACGGGUAGCCGGCCUGAGAGGGUGACCGGCCACAUGGGGACUGAGAUACGGGCCAGACUCCUACGGGAGGCAGCAGUGGGGAAUAUUGCACAAUGGGCGGAAGCCUGAUGCAGCAACGCCGCGUGCGGGAUGACGGCCUUCGGGUUGUAAACCGCUUUCGCCUGUGACGAAGCGUGAGUGACGGUAAUGGGUAAAGAAGCACCGGCUAACUACGUG